UACGAAGGGGGCUAGCGUUGUUCGGAAUCACUGGGCGUAAAGCGCACGUAGGCGGAUCUUUAAGUCAGGGGUGAAAUCCCAAGGCUCAACCUUGGAACUGCCUUUGAUACUGGGGAUCUCGAGUCCGGAAGAGGUUGGUGGAACUGCGAGUGUAGAGGUGAAAUUCGUAGAUAUUCGCAAGAACACCAGUGGCGAAGGCGGCCAACUGGUCCGGUACUGACGCUGAGGUGCGAAAGCGUGGGGAGCAAACAGGG
rnacentral:rRNA from 1 species